rnacentral:rRNA from 1 species
GGUCAGAGAUGGGCAUGCGUAACAUUAGCUGGUUGGUGAGGUAACAGCUCACCAACGCUACGAUGUUUAGGGGGUCUGAGAGGAUGGUCCCCCACACUGGUACUGAGACACGGACCAGACUCCUACGGGAGGCAGCAGUGAGGAAUAUUGGUCAAUGGGCGAAAGCCUGAACCAGCCAUGCCGCGUGAAUGAUGACGGCCCUAUGGGUUGUAAACUUCUUUUAUACGGGAAGAAACCCCUCUACGUGUAGGGGGCUGACGGUACCGUACGAAUAAGCAUCGGUUAACUCCGUGCCAGCAGCCGCGGUAAUACGGAGGAUGCAAGCGUUAUCCGGAUUUAUUGGGUUUAAAGGGUGCGUAGGCGGAAAAUUAAGUCAGUGGUGAAAUCCUGCAGCUUAACUGUAGAAUUGUCAUUGAUACUGGUUUUCUUGAAUACAGUUGAGGUAGGCGGAAUGAGUAAUGUAGCGGUGAAAUGCUUAGAUAUUACUCAGAACACCAAUUGCGAAGGCAGCUUACUAAACUGUGAUUGACGCUGAGGCACGAAAGCGUGGGGAGCGAACAGGAUUAGAUACCCUGGUAGUCCACGCCGUAAACGAUGAUCACUCGUUGUUGGCAAUACUCCGUCAGCGACUGAGCGAAAGUAUUAACGUGAUCCACCUGGGGAGUACGAUCGCAAGACUUGAGACUCAAAGGAAUUGACGGGGGCCCGCACAAGCGGAGGAACAUGUGCUCUAAUUCGAUGAUAAGCGAGGAACAUUACCUGGGCUCAAAUGCACAACGACGGAUCGGGAAACUGGUCUUUCUUCGGACGGAAUGCAAGGUCCUGCAUGGCCGUCGUCAGCUCGUCCCGUGAGGUGUCGGGUUAAGUCCCAUAACGAGCGCAACCCUCAUCAUUAGUUGCCAGCGGGUUAUGCCGGGGCGUCUAAUGAAACUGCGCAGGUGUAUUCCGAGAGGUAGCCGCGGAUGACGUCAAGUCAGCUCGGCCCUUAUGUCCAGGGCUACACACGUGUUACAAUGGUCAGUACAAAGGGAAGCGAUCUCGCGAGGGUGACCCAAUCCCAACAAGCAGUCUUCAGUUCGGAUUGGAGUCUGCAACUCGACUCCAUGAAGCUGGAAUCGCUAGUAGUCGCGGAUCAGCA